AUUGAACGCUGGCGGCAUGCCUUACACAUGCAAGUCGAACGGCAGCAUGAUCUAGCUUGCUAGAUUGAUGGCGAGUGGCGAACGGGUGAGUAAUACAUCGGAACGCGCCCUGUAGUGGGGGAUAACUAGUCGAAAGAUUAGCUAAUACCGCAUACGACCUGAGGGUGAAAGUGGGGGACCGCAAGGCCUCAUGCUAUAGGGGCGGCCGAAGUCUGAUUAGCAAGUUGGUGAGGUAAAGGCUCACCAAGGCGACGAUCAGUAGCUGGUCUGAGAGGACGAUCAGCCACACUGGGACUGAGACACGGCCCAGACUCCUACGGGAGGCAGCAGUGGGGAAUUUUGGACAAUGGGGGCAACCCUGAUCCAGCAAUGCCGCGUGUGUGAAGAAGGCCUUCGGGUUGUAAAGCACUUUUGUCCGGAAAGAAAUCGCACUUACUAAUAUUAGGUGUGGAUGACGGUACCGGAAGAAUAAGGACCGGCUAACUACGUGACAGCCGCCGCAGUAACAC
rnacentral:rRNA from 1 species